GGGGGCCUGGUAGCCACAGUUGCAGGUUGGGCUGGAAUAAUUGUUCCUUCUCUUGAUGUGUCCUUGUUCUCAGGUCAGGUUGAUAUGGCUAGGCGGCCUGCUGGCGAGAUAGUGGGAGUGGGCGGCCCGCCCCUCAGGACCUCUGACCUGGACAGAUGACUGGAUGACUCUCUGGGGCAGCAUUCACCGGAACUCAUAUGGAGAGGACUGCCUGAGAAACCAACCUGUGUGCCUGGGUCAGGUUGAUAUGGCUAGGCGGCCUGCUGGCGAGAUAGUGGGAGUGGGCGGUCCGCCCCUCAGGACCUCUGAUUUGGACAGAUGACUGGAUGACUCUCUGGGGCAGCAUUCACCGGAACUCAUAUGGAGGGGACUGCCUGAGAAACCAACCUGUGUGCCUGGGUCAGGUUGAUAUGGCUAGUGAAGACAGGAGACCAAAAGGCGUUUAGCUGUGCAAGCAAGCCAAGCCCUUCUCCCAGUCCCUCCAAACAUCACUAGUCCUCCACAGGACUUGUCUCACCAUGUGUUGCCUCAGCAAAACUCACCUUUACAAACACAGCUUUGAAGGCCAGUUUUUUGAGUUAAUAAUGUAAACAAAUGUUAUUCUACGACAAACGUAGAAUUCAAGAGAAAAAUGGAGUAAUGAGUAAACCAGACAUUAAAAAAGAUUCUAUAAAUGAUCGAAUUACCUUUAGGCUACUGCAGCUUAGGUAUAAUGUAAGGGGAGUAAUAAUCUACAAAUAAGCAAAUGAGCCAAGAUGACCAAGAUGGAAAUGGUUUGAUUAGGAAUUUGAUUAGGGAAGUUCUGCCAAGGCAGGGAUAGUUGGGGUGGACACCUUUAGUCCCAGCACUGGGGCUUUAUGCAUGCUAAGGACGAGCUCUAUUGCUGGGCCCCACGCUCUAGAGUCAAUGCUCUAAAAUACUGCACAAACUAAUUCUCAGACAUUAACUGCAGGAAGAAUGCUCUAAUCCUAGAUGAGUGUUUUCAAAACAAAACUUAGCAGCGAAGACCAAAAAAUACAGAAAAAGCACCCAAAACAGACGAAAUGCCAGUUCAUCAGGAAGCCAAAACUUGACAGAAAUAUCUCUCAAAUAACAUUUAAUCUCUCUCCCUUUGUUCUAAUCCUGUCCCCACCCAGCAACCACCUGAUGUGUAAUUUGGUUUUCUAAGUGACCAUAGCCAUCGGUCAGAGACACUAAGCUGGGCCCAAAUAAAAGAAGAAAAUAAAUAAGAAGUUAAAUUAAG
rnacentral:lncRNA from 1 species